CCGAUGUAAAGAUUCUCACUUCCCCUGUCAGCUGUCCUAACAUUUGAAAAGCCUUGCUAAGCAGGUUUAUUGAAAAUAAACUGAAUUUCUGCUGGCUGUGUGGUGCCAUCUUCAAGACUCCAGGGGGUCUCUACAUCUGGAAUUUUCCUUUGCUGUGGGCAAGAUGUGUUCUCGUCACUCACUGGGUUGAAAACCAGUAACAACCUGAAGGUAACGGCCCUUCCCAAGUCGUGGAAGUCAAGGCAACCAUCAGCUUUGCCUUCCCCAAAAAAGCUGCUCUCAUCAGGAAGCACAGUGCUCUUGUGGGAUUCUCCUGAUGCUGGGGCAGGGAACAACCCACAAACGUCACCGUCAUAUUUUCUGAAAAAUCCUCUUUGCCCAGGAUUUUCUCCUGGGAAGAUGAGAAGCCUCAGCUGCUCCUGUGUUUGUGGUCUGGAGAUUGUUUAUUCAACAUGUGAAUUGUUUUAACUUAAUGGCCAAUCACAGCCAGCUGUUUUGUCACGAAGUUUUAUUAUUCAUUCUUGUUAAGCCUUCUGAUGUAUCCUUUCUCUUUCUUUAGUAUAGUUUUAGUAUAGCAUUCUUUAAUAUAAUACUAUAUCAUAAAAUAAUAAAUCAGCCUCUGGGAACA
rnacentral:lncRNA from 1 species